CAGAAGUUGACUCAGGCGAAGCAGAUUGUGAACAGUUACAGCAUAACACCGUCCAUUAAUCUAUAUAAGGCUAAAUGUGGUGGUCUCUUUAUUAUGAAGGCACCUAAUAGGUGGGCCACCAUCGUCUCCUAUGAAGGCGGACAGUUACAACCAUGCCUUCUCUGGGAUUCGAACCCAGGUCCUUCGGUAUCGCAGUCAGGCCUUCCUAACUACUAUACCGUCUGGGCGGUUGUGAGAAUGGAAUUGUAACACAGAAAAAGUGGACCGUAGCGCCCUCUCGCAGAAACUGGCAAAGUACCUAUAAUGGAAUGUCGAUAGUAUUUCUGACAAAAUGUCAACGGCUGUGAACUCAAAUGGAGGAAAUAACAUUUAGUCGAUCAGUUAGAAAUUCUACGCUGCGCUCUCUCCCUUUGGUGUCAAGAACUCCGUGACUUGUCUUGACUUGUUACAAUUCUGCGUGAAGUGUUCUGCAACAAUGCACAGUGACGUUGUAAUGUAAUAAAAAAUAUUUUGUUGUGAAUAUUAUGACUUCUUUCAGAACACGACCGUAGAAGUUCUUAAGGAGAAAUACUCAAUAUUCGGAAGAAGCAUUCUUGCACUUAUAAUAGGAAAUACUUUACACAUACAUUUUUUUUUUGCAUUGUCAGCGAAUACGGGGGAGAAAAAAGGUAUUUUACUACAAAUACUAAAACUUAUUUUUAACCCUUUUAAAAUUAUCAAAUAAAUAAUGUUAAAAACAGUUUUAUUUAAAUUUAAUCAUAUUUAACCCUAUUUGAUUUUGAAAGCCACUAACAAUGUUUUUUUUUUUUUUUUUUUUUUUUUUUUUUUUUCUCUUGAAAUUUCCCUGAAUUUAAAAUUUUAUUAGGUUUCACACAUGACAGCAUAAUAACGCACAAGAUUUCUCAUCAUUAAAUGUUUAGAUUCAUAGUGUUCAGCCACCUAAAAUAUAAUUUCUAAAUUAAAUGAAAUUAACUCAAUCCGAACUCAUUGUAAGCAAAGAUAAAUAACAAUGACGUACCAAGU